rnacentral:misc_RNA from 1 species
GAUGAAGAACGUAGCGAAAUGCGAUAAGUAAUGUGAAUUGCAGAAUUCAGUGAAUCAUCGAAUCUUUGAACGCACAUUGCGCCCGCCAGUAUUCUGGCGGGCAUGCCUGUUCGAGUGUCAUUUCAACCAUCAAGCCCCAGGCUUGUGUUGGGGACCUGCGGCUGCCGCAGGCCCUGAAAACCAGUGGCGGGCUCGCUGUCACACCGGGCGUAGUAGAUUUUAUCUCGCUCAGGGCGUGCUGCGGGUUCCGGCCGUUAAAAAGCCUUUUUUACCCAAGGUUGACCUCGGAUCAGGUAGGAAGACCCGCUGAACUUAAGCAUAUCAAUAAGCGGAGGA